CCCUUAGAUGUUCUGGGCCGCACGCGUGCUACACUGAGUGGAUCAGCGGGUCAGGUUGCGCGAAAGCGUUUCCUAAUCUUUAAAUCCGCUCGUGAUGGGGAUUGACGGUUGCAAUUUUCUGUCAUGAACGAGGAAUACCUUGUAAGCGCGGGUCAUCAUCCCGCGCUGAAUACGUCCCUGCCCUUUGUACACACCGCCCGUCGCUCCUACCGAUUGGGUGAGCCGAUGAAACUCUCGGAUGUAGGCUAUUCAUAGCCCGCAGAAGAGAUUUGAAUCGUAGCGCUUAGAGGAAGGAGAAGUCGUAACA
rnacentral:rRNA from 1 species